rnacentral:rRNA from 1 species
UGCGUAGGCGGCGACUUAAGUAGGAUGUGAAAUCUCCCGGCUCAACCGGGGAACUGCGUUCUAAACUGGGUUGCUUGAGUGAGAUAGAGGUGUGCGGAACUUCCGGUGGAGCGGUGAAAUGUGUUGAUGUCGGAGGGAACACCGUUGGCGAAAGCGGCACACUGGGUCUUAACUGACGCUGAGGCACGAAAGCCAGGGGAGCAAACG